rnacentral:rRNA from 1 species
UACGUAGGUGGCAAGCGUUGUCCGGAUUUAUUGGGUUUAAAGGGUGCGUAGGCGGCUUUGUAAGUCAGUGGUGAAAUAUGGCAGCUCAACUGUCAGGGUGCCAUUGAUACUGCGGAGCUUGAGUACAGAUGAGGUAGGCGGAAUUGACGGUGUAGCGGUGAAAUGCUUAGAUAUCGUCAAGAACACCGAUAGCGAAGGCAGCUUACUGGGCUGUAACUGACGCUGAGGCACGAAAGCGUGGGGAUCGAACAGG